AUUGAACGCUGGCGGCAGGCCUAACACAUGCAAGUCGAACGAGUGGCGGACGGGUGAGUAAUGUCUGGGCAACUGCCCGAUGGAGGGGGAUAACUACUGGAAACGGUAGCUAAUACCGCAUACCAUCGGAUGUGCCCAGAUGGGAUUAGCUAGUAGGUGGGGUAAAUGCUCACCUAGGCGACGAUCCCUAGCUGGUCUGAGAGGAUGACCAGCCACACUGGAACGGAGACACGGUCCAUACUCAUAAGGGAGGCAGAAGUGGGGAAUAUUGGACAAUGGGCGCAAGCCUGAGGCAGCCAUGCCGCGUGUAUGAAGAAGGCCGUCGGCUUGUAAAGGACUUUCAGCGAGGAGGCGUUACUAGCAGAAGAAGCACCGGCUAACUCCGUGACAGCAGCCGCGGUAAUAC
rnacentral:rRNA from 1 species